ACUCCUACGGGAGGCAGCAGUGGGGAAUAUUGGACAAUGGGCGAAAGCCUGAUCCAGCAACGCCGCGUGAGGGAUGACUGCCUUCGGGUUGUAAACCUCUUUCAGCGGGGACGAAGCGCAAGUGACGGUACCCGCAGAAGAAGCACCGGCCAACUACGUGCCAGCAGCCGCGGUAAUACGUAGGGUGCGAGCGUUGUCCGGAAUUAUUGGGCGUAAAGGGCUCGUAGGCGGUUUGUCACGUCGGGAGUGAAAACUCAGGGCUUAACCCUGAGCCUGCUUCCGAUACGGGCAGACUAGAGGUAUGCAGGGGAGAACGGAAUUCCUGGUGUAGCGGUGAAAUGCGCAGAUAUCAGGAGGAACACCGGUGGCGAAGGCGGUUCUCUGGGCAUUACCUGACGCUGAGGAGCGAAAGUGUGGGGAGCGAACAGGAUUAGAUACCCUGGUAG
rnacentral:rRNA from 1 species